AGCGAACGCUGGCGGCAGGCCUAACACAUGCAAGUCGAACGAACCCUUCGGGGUUAGUGGCGGACGGGUGAGUAACACGUGGGAACGUGCCUUUAGGUUCGGAAUAACUCAGGGAAACUUGUGCUAAUACCGAAUGUGCCCUUCGGGGGAAAGAUUUAUCGCCUUUAGAGCGGCCCGCGUCUGCUUAGCUAGUUGGUGAGGUAAUGGCUCACCAAGGCUACGAUCAGUAGCUGGUCUGAGAGGAUGACCAGCCACAUUGGGACUGAGACACGGCCCAAACUCCUACGGGAGGCAGCAGUGGGGAAUAUUGCGGAAUGGGCGAAAGCCUGACGCAGCCAUGCCGCGUGGAUGAUGAAGGUCUUAGGAUUGUAAAAUCCUUUCACCGGUGAAGAUAAUGACUGUAGCCGGAGAAGAAGCCCCGGCUAACUUCGUGCCAGCCGCCGCAGUAACAC
rnacentral:rRNA from 1 species